rnacentral:rRNA from 1 species
CAGCCAUGCCGCGUGUGUGAAGAAGGCCUUCGGGUUGUAAAGCACUUUCAGUGGGGAAGAAAGCCUAGGGGCUAAUACCCUCGAGGAAGGACAUCACUCGCAGAAGAAGCACCGGCUAACUCCGUGCCAGCAGCCGCGGUAAUACGGAGGGUGCGAGCGUUAAUCGGAAUUACUGGGCGUAAAGCGCGCGUAGGCGGCUUGAUAAGCCGGUUGUGAAAGCCCCGGGCUCAACCUGGGAACGGCAUCCGGAACUGUCAGGCUAGAGUGCAGGAGAGGAAGGUAGAAUUCCCGGUGUAGCGGUGAAAUGCGUAGAGAUCGGGAGGAAUACCAGUGGCGAAGGCGGCCUUCUGGACUGACACUGACGCUGAGGUGCGAAAGCGUGGGUAGCAAACAGGAUUAGAUACCCUGGUAGUCCACGCCGUAAACGAUGUCGACUAGCCGUUGGGCUCCUUGAGAGCUUUGUGGCGCAGUUAACGCGAUAAGUCGACCGCC